rnacentral:rRNA from 1 species
UACAGAGGGGGCAAGCGUUGUUCGGAAUUACUGGGCGUAAAGCGUGCGCAGGCGGUUAUGCAAGUCAGAUGUGAAAUCCCCGGGCUUAACCUGGGAACUGCAUUUGUGACUGCAUAGCUGGAGUACGGUAGAGGGGGAUGGAAUUCCGCGUGUAGCAGUGAAAUGCGUAGAUAUGCGGAGGAACACCGAUGGCGAAGGCAGUCCCCUGGACCUGUACUGACGCUCAUGCACGAAAGCGUGGGGAGCAAACAGG